rnacentral:rRNA from 1 species
UACGUAGGGUGCGAGCGUUGCCCCGGAUUUAUUGGGCGUAAAGGGCGCGUAGGCGGCCACGCACGUCCGUUGUGAAAUCGCCCCGGCUCAACUGGGCGGGGUCAGCGGAUACGGUGUGGCUCGAGCAAGCUAGGGGGGCAAUGGAAUUCCCGGUGUAGUGGUGGAAUGCGUAGAUAUCGGGGAGGAACACCAGUGGCGAAGGCGGU